UCCCUGCAAGGUACCUAGAUUGGAUGCCCUA
rnacentral:piRNA from 1 species